UGCUCCACCGGAAAAAGAGGAGUGGCGAACGGGUGAGUAACACGUGGGUAACCUGCCCAUCAGAAGGGGAUAACACUUGGAAACAGGUGCUAAUACCGUAUAACAAUCGAAACCGCAUGGUUUUGAUUUGAAAGGCGCUUUCGGGUGUCGCUGAUGGAUGGACCCGCGGUGCAUUAGCUAGUUGGUGAGGUAACGGCUCACCAAGGCCACGAUGCAUAGCCGACCUGAGAGGGUGAUCGGCCACAUUGGGACUGAGACACGGCCCAAACUCCUACGGGAGGCAGCAGUAGGGAAUCUUCGGCAAUGGACGAAAGUCUGACCGAGCAACGCCGCGUGAGUGAAGAAGGUUUUCGGAUCGUAAAACUCUGUUAUUAGAGAAGAACAAGGAUGAGAGUAACUGUUCAUCCCUUGACGGUAUCUAACCAGAAAGCCACGGCUAACUACGUGCCAGCAGCCGCGGUAAUACGUAGGUGGCAAGCGUUGUCCGGAUUUAUUGGGCGUAAAGCGAGCGCAGGCGGUUUCUUAAGUCUGAUGUGAAAGCCCCCGGCUCAACCGGGGAGGGUCAUUGGAAACUGGGAGACUUGAGUGCAGGAGAGGAGAGUGGAAUUCCAUGUGUAGCGGUGAAAUGCGUAGAUAUAUGGAGGAACACCAGUGGC
rnacentral:rRNA from 1 species